rnacentral:rRNA from 1 species
CAGUCGCCACGGUAAUACGUAGGUCCCGAGCGUUGUCCGGAUUUAUUGGGCGUAAAGCGAGCGCAGGCGGUUAGAUAAGUCUGAAGUUAAAGGCUGUGGCUCAACCAUAGUUCGCUUUGGAAACUGUCAAACUUGAGUGCAGAAGGGGAGAGUGGAAUUCCACGUGUAGCGGCGAAAUGCGUAGAGAUGUGGAGGAACACCAGUGGCGAAGGCGACCCUCUGGUCUGUAACUGACGCUGAGGAGCGAAAGCGUGGGGAGCGAACAGGAUUAGAUACCCCAGUAGUCCCUGUCUCUUAUACA